GACGAACGCUGGCGGCGUGCUUAACACAUGCAAGUCGAACGAAGAGCGAUGGAAGCUUGCUUCUAUCAAUCUUAGUGGCGAACGGGUGAGUAACGCGUAAUCAACCUGCCCUUCAGAGGGGGACAACAGUUGGAAACGACUGCUAAUACCGCAUACGAUCUAACCUCGGCAUCGAGGAUAGAUGAAAGGUGGCCUCUACAUGUAAGCUAUCACUGAAGGAGGGGAUUGCGUCUGAUUAGCUAGUUGGAGGGGUAACGGCCCGCCAAGGCGAUGAUCAGUAGCUGGUCUGAGAGGAUGAACGGCCACAUUGGGACUGAGACACGGCCCAGACUCCUACGGGAGGCAGCAGUGGGGAAUCUUCCGCAAUGGACGAAAGUCUGACGGAGCAACGCCGCGUGAGUGAUGACGGCCUUCGGGUUGUAAAGCUCUGUUAAUCGGGACGAAAGGCCUUCUUGCGAAUAGUGAGAAGGAUUGACGGUACCGGAAUAGAAAGCCACGGCUAACUACGUG
rnacentral:rRNA from 1 species